rnacentral:rRNA from 1 species
UACGAGGGGGGCAAGCGUUGUUCGGAAUCACUGGGCGUAAAGGGAGCGUAGGCGGGAACGUAAGUGGAAGGUUUAAAGCGGGGGCCCAACCCCCGUGUGGCCUUUCAAACUGCGUUUCUUGAAUAGAGGAGAGGUCGAUGGAAUUUCCGGUGUAGCGGUGGAAUGCGUAGAUAUCGGAAAGAACACCAGUUGCGAAGGCGGUCGACUGGCCUCAUAUUGACGCUGAGGCUCGAAAGCAUGGGGAGCAAACAGG